GAUUAACGCUGGCGGCGUGCAUAACACAUGCAAGUCGAACGAUGAAACUUAAAUGAUUUCUUCGGAAUGAACUUAAGUGGAUUAGUGGCGGACGGGUGAGUAACGCGUGAGUAACCUGCCUUACACAAGGGGAUAGCCGUUGGAAACGACGAAUAAUACCCUAUGAUGUUUCUAUCUCGCAUGAGAUAUUAACCAAAGUGUUAGCGGUGUAAGAUGGACUUGCGUCUGAUUAGCUAGUUGGGGAGAAAAAAGCCCACCAAGGCAACGAUCAGUAGCCGGCUUGAGAGAGUGUACGGCCACAUUGGGACUGAGACACGGCCCAGACUCCUACGGGAGGCAGCAGUGGGGAAUUUUGCACAAUGGGGGAAACCCUGAUGCAGCGACGCCGCGUGAUUUAGAAGGCCUUCGGGUUGUAAAAAUCUUUUGUAUAGGAAGAAAAUGACAGUACUAUACGAAUAAGGUCCGGCUAAUUACGUG
rnacentral:rRNA from 1 species